rnacentral:rRNA from 1 species
ACGAACGCUGGCGGCGUGCUUAACACAUGCAAGUCGGACGGAAAGGCCCUGCUUUUGUGGGGUGCUCGAGUGGCGAACGGGUGAGUAACACGUGAGUAACCUGCCCUUGACUUUGGGAUAACUUCAGGAAACUGGGGCUAAUACCGGAUAGGAGCUCCUGCUGCAUGGUGGGGGUUGGAAAGUUUCGGCGGUUGGGGAUGGACUCGCGGCUUAUCAGCUUGUUGGUGGGGUAGUGGCUUACCAAGGCUUUGACGGGUAGCCGGCCUGAGAGGGUGACCGGCCACAUUGGGACUGAGAUACGGCCCAGACUCCUACGGGAGGCAGCAGUGGGGAAUAUUGCACAAUGGGCGGAAGCCUGAUGCAGCAACGCCGCGUGCGGGAUGACGGCCUUCGGGUUGUAAACCGCUUUCGCCUGUGACGAAGCGUGAGUGACGGUAAUGGGUAAAGAAGCACCGGCUAACUACGUG